rnacentral:rRNA from 1 species
UACAGAGGGGGCAAGCGUUGUUCGGAAUUACUGGGCGUAAAGGGCGCGUAGGCGGCCUGUUAAGUCGAACGUGAAAUCCCCGGGCUCAACCCGGGAACUGCGUCCGAUACUGGCAGGCUUGAAUUCGGGAGAGGGAUGCGGAAUUCCAGGUGUAGCGGUGAAAUGCGUAGAUAUCUGGAGGAACACCGGUGGCGAAGGCGGCAUCCUGGACCACGACUGACGCUGAGGAGCGAAAGCCAGGGGAGCAAACGGG